GCACUUCAGCAGAUCAAAAGAUAAAAUUGAAAUGAUAGAGAAAAGACGAACAUGGCCCCUGAACCAGGAUGACCUGCAAAUUCAUGGAGCAUUCCAUAUUUUU